AUUGAACGCUGGCGGAAUGCUUUACACAUGCAAGUCGAACGGUAGAGGGGGCAACCCCUCGAGAGUGGCGAACGGGUGAGUAAUAUAUCGGAACGUGCCCAGUCGUGGGGGAUAACGUAGCGAAAGUUACGCUAAUACCGCAUACGAUCUACGGAUGAAAGCGGGGGAUCGCAAGACCUCGCGCGAUUGGAGCGGCCGAUAUCAGAUUAGGUAGUUGGUGGGGUAAAGGCUCACCAAGCCAACGAUCUGUAGCUGGUCUGAGAGGACGACCAGCCACACUGGAACUGAGACACGGUCCAGACUCCUACGGGAGGCAGCAGUGGGGAAUUUUGGACAAUGGACGCAAGUCUGAUCCAGCCAUUCCGCGUGCAGGAUGAAGGCCCUCGGGUUGUAAACUGCUUUUGUACGGAACGAGAAGGUUUCCAUUAAUACUGGGAGCUCAUGGCGGUACCGUAAGAAUAAGCACCGGCUAACUACGUGCCAGCCGCCGCGGUAA
rnacentral:rRNA from 1 species